rnacentral:rRNA from 1 species
AGAGUUUGAUCAUGGCUCAGAGUGAACGCUGGCGGCAGGCCUAACACAUGCAAGUCGAGCGGCAGCGCGUCCGACCACCCUCGGGUGGUCGGAUGGCGGCGAGCGGCGGACGGGUGAGGAAUGCAUCGGAAUCUGCCUCGUUGUGGGGGAUAACGUAGGGAAACUUACGCUAAUACCGCAUACGACCUACGGGUGAAAGUGGGGGACCUUCGGGCCUCACGCGAUGAGAUGAGCCGAUGCCGGAUUAGCUAGUUGGCGGGGUAAAGGCCCACCAAGGCGACGAUCCGUAGCUGGUCUGAGAGGAUGAUCAGCCACACUGGAACUGAGACACGGUCCAGACUCCUACGGGAGGCAGCAGUGGGGAAUAUUGGACAAUGGGGGCAACCCUGAUCCAGCCAUGCCGCGUGUGUGAAGAAGGCCUUCGGGUUGUAAAGCACUUUUGUUGGGGAAGAAACCGGCCGGGUUAAUACCCUGGUUGAAUGACGGUACCCAAAGAAUAAGCACCGGCUAACUUCGUGCCAGCAGCCGCGGUAAUACGAAGGGUGCAAGCGUUACUCGGAAUUACUGGGCGUAAAGCGUGCGUAGGCGGUUUGUUAAGUCUGCUGUGAAAGCCCUGGGCUCAACCUGGGAACUGCAGUGGAUACUGGCGAGCUAGAGUGUGUCAGAGGAUGGUGGAAUUCCCGGUGUAGCGGUGAAAUGCGUAGAGAUC